AUUGAACGCUGGCGGCAGGCUUAACACAUGCAAGUCGAGCGGAGAUGAGGUGCUUGCACCUUAUCUUAGCGGCGGACGGGUGAGUAAUGCUUAGGAAUCUGCCUAUUAGUGGGGGACAACAUUCCGAAAGGAAUGCUAAUACCGCAUACGUCCUACGGGAGAAAGCAGGGGACCUUUGGGCCUUGCGCUAAUAGAUGAGCCUAAGUCGGAUUAGCUAGUUGGUGGGGUAAAGGCCUACCAAGGCGACGAUCUGUAGCGGGUCUGAGAGGAUGAUCCGCCACACUGGGACUGAGACACGGCCCAGACUCCUACGGGAGGCAGCAGUGGGGAAUAUUGGACAAUGGGCGGAAGCCUGAUCCAGCCAUGCCGCGUGUGUGAAGAAGGCCUUUUGGUUGUAAAGCACUUUAAGCGAGGAGGAGGCUACUUAGAUUAAUACUCUAGGAUAGUGGACGUUACUCGCAGAAUAAGCACCGGCUAACUCUGUGCCAGCAGCCGCGGUAACAC
rnacentral:rRNA from 1 species